rnacentral:rRNA from 1 species
AUUGCACGCUGGCGGCAGGCCUAACACAUGCAAGUCGGGCGAGUGGCGGACGUGUGAGUAAUGUAUGGGGAUCUGCCCGAUGGAGGGGGAUAACUACUGGAAACGGUAGCUAAUACCGCCUACCCUCAGAUGAACCCAUAUGGGAUUAGCUAGUAGGUGUGGUAACGGCGUACCUAGGCGACGAUCCCUAGCUGGUCGGAGAGGAUGAUCAGCCACACUGGGACUGAGACACGGCCCAGACUCCUACGGGAGGAAGCAGUGGGGAAUAUGGCACAAUGGGCGGAAGCCUGAUGCAGCCAUGCCGCGUGUAUGAAGAAGGCCUUCGGGUUGUAAAGUACUUUCAGUCGGGAGGCGUUACAGGCAGAAGAAGCACCGGCUAACUCCGUGCCAGCAGCCGCGGUAAUAC